AUUGAACGCUGGCGGCAGGCCUAACACAUGCAAGUCGAACGAGUGGCGGACGGGUGAGGAAUGUCUGGGAAACUGCCUGAUGGAGGGGGAUAACUACUGGAAACGGUAGCUAAUACCGCAUACCAUCAGAUGUGCCCAGAUGGGAUUAGGUAGUUGGUGGGGUAACGGCUCACCAAGGCGACGAACCCUAGCUGGUCUGAGAGGAUGACCAGCCACACUGGAACUGGUCCACGGUCCAGACUCCUACGGGAGGCAGCAGUGGGGAAUAUUGUACAAUGGGCGCAAGCCUGACGCAGCCAUGCCGCGUGUAUGAAGAAGGCCUUCGGUUUGUAAAGUACUGUCAGCGGGGAGGCGUUACCCGCAGAAGAAGCACCGGCUAACUCCGUGCCAGCCGCCGCGGUAAUUC
rnacentral:rRNA from 1 species